rnacentral:rRNA from 1 species
UACGGGGGGGGGCAAGCGUUGUUCGGAAUUACUGGGCGUAAAGGGUGCGUAGGCGGUCCGCUAAGUUGGAUGUGAAAACUCUGGGCUUAACCCAGAGCCUGCAUUCAAAACUGACGGGCUAGAGUUCUGGAGGGGGUAGCGGAAUUCCUGGUGUAGCGGUGAAAUGCGUAGAUAUCAGGAGGAACACCGGUGGCGAAGGCGGCUACCUGGACAGAAACUGACGCUGAGGCACGAAAGCUAGGGAGCAA